CUUGCACCUGCUUCGUCAGGACCCCUGACAUAGUCUAGGCUCAAGUUUGGAUAAAGGCUCCUUUGCUCUUGCAUUGGACUCUGCUCCCUGGUGGUCCUUGGGGACUUUGCGAUCUGGGCAUAACACCAGCAACAUGACAGGGUCUUGCUCUAUUGCUGGGCUUAGAGUACAGUGGUAACAUCACAGCACACGGCAGCCUCAAACUCCUGGGCUCAAAUCAUCCUCCUGCUCAGCCUCCCAAGUAGCUGGGACUACAGGUUACUACUUUGAGGAACAUCUUCUGUAUCAACCCUCGACCGGAUUCCUGAUUACCACCUUAGGAUACACUCCUUUGUGAGGAAUUACUAGGUCAACGGGAAUAAACAUUAAAAAUUAUAGUUUUUAUUAAUAAAACUCUUAAGAGUGUAUUUUCUCAUAAAAAGAGACUACAGUGUACCCCCACGAAGCUGUGAGAAUGGCAGAACUCUCCACACGUAACAAUCCUGUCCAGGCUUCUGCACUACAAGAUGAUCACAUUUUCCUGGCAUGGUCAGACCAGCAUGACGGCCACGUGCCUCGGAGGACCCUUCUCGUAAGAUGCCUGCCUGAGCAAGUUCAGCCCUGCCAGGAGAACUGGCUGGCUGCUCCAGCCAACACCUGAUGACAGCACAGGCCAACAGACAGUGACCUUUUCUUAGAGCAUUUACUACAAAGCGCUAACAUUUGUGACUCUUUCCUCUGUCCCACUGAGAUUUGUAUGUGUGUAUCUUCUGCAACGCAGGAGCCUCUUUCUCAAAGAGCAGAAAGCCAUUCCUUUGCAAGGAUAUGGCCUUGUCUCCCGGUCUCUGUGGAAGGAUAGAAUCCUAACUUUGAUUAAGUGCUGGCUAGCAGACACUGCUGGCCUAAUUGCAUUCGCACCGACUGACCCUUUAUAACUUUUCACUUGAGUCCUGAAUAUUCUCUUUCCUACUCCCUCGAGGUUCUUUAUGAACUGUCAUCUUUUCUCACUGCUUUGUUUACUGCAGUUCAAUUUAUAAUCGCCAAAAUGUGGAAACAACCUAAAUGCCAACCAACCCAGGAAUGGAUUAACUGUGGUAUUAUAUGUAUACCAUGAAAUACUAUUCAGCCAUAAAAAGAUGGGGACUUUACAUCUUUUAUAUUAAACUGGAUGGAAUUGAAACACGUUCUUCUUAGUAAAGUUUCACAAGAAUGGAAAAGCAAAUAUCCAGUGUACUCAAUACUAAUAUGAAGGCAGUAGAUGAUCUAAUACACACCCACACAAGAGAAAAACUCAAAUCAACUCAAAUGGAGACGGAGGGGGAUGUGUGUACUCCCACUGAAUGGGCACAAUGUUAGGGCAUAUGGCUCGCCUCUUGGGGGCAGGACACAGUUAUAAGAGGGACUUUACCUAACAAAUACAAACACUGUAACCUAAUUCUUUGUACUCUCAAUUAACCUGAAACAAUAAAAAAAGAAAAAGAUACCAUUAUCUCUGCACAAAGGAGCCAGGAGCUACCUGGCUCCUUCUCCCACUGCCAGUGUUACUGAAUAAAAUGU